CUAUGUAGCUCAGUUGGUAGAGCAUUUCACUCGUAAUGAAAAGGUCGUCAGUUCAAUUCUGACCAUA
rnacentral:tRNA from 1 species